UACGUAGGGGGCGAGCGUUGUCCGGAUUUAUUGGGCGUAAAGAGCUCGUAGGCGGUUUGGUAAGUCGGGUGUGAAAUCUCCACGCUCAACGUGGAGGGGUCACUCGAUACUGCCAUGACUCGAGUCCGGUAGAGGAGUGUGGAAUUCCCGGUGUAGCGGUGAAAUGCGCAGAUAUCGGGAGGAACACCCGUAGCGAAGGCGGCGCUCUGGGCCGGAACUGACGCUGAGGAGCGAAAGCGUGGGGAGCAAACAGG
rnacentral:rRNA from 1 species